rnacentral:rRNA from 1 species
UCGAAGCAGUCUAUGUCAUACUGCCAAGAAAAGCUUGCACUGUCAUAAACAAAUAAUGCCUGUACCAUAACCGACACAGGUGGGUAGGUAGAGUAUACUAAGGGGCGCGAGAUAACUCUCUCUAAGGAACUCGGCAAAAUGACUCCGUAACUUCGGGAGAAGGAGUGCCUUAUUUUAUAAGGUUGCAAUAACAAGAUCCAAGCAACUGUUUACCAAAAACACAGGUCUCCGCUAAGUCGUAAGACGAUGUAUGGGGGCUGACGCCUGCCCAGUGCCAGAAGGUUAAAGAAGUUGGUUAGCAUUAGCGAAGCUGAUAACUGAAGCCCUGGUGAACGGCGGCCGUAACUAUAACGGUCCUAAGGUAGCGAAAUUCCUUGUCGGGUAAGUUCCGACCCGCACGAAAGGCGUAAUGAUUUGGAUACUGUCUCGGAGAGGGGCUCGGUGAAAUAGACUUGUCUGUGAAGAUGCGGACUACCUGCACCAGGACAGAAAGACCCUAUGAAGCUUUACUGUAACUUGAGAUUGAAAUUGGACUUUAUUUGCGCAGUAUAGGUGGGAGACGUUGAAAAUAUUCUUGCGGGAAUAUUGGAGUCAUCAGUGAGAUACCACUCUUAUAAUGUUAGAUUUCUAACUUUGUAUCAUUAUCUGGUCAAAGAACAGUCUCAGGCGGGCAGUUUGACUGGGGCGGUCGCCUCCCAAACGGUAACGGAGGCGCACAAAGGUUUCCUCUGAACGUGUAGAAAUCGUAUCUAGAGUGUAAAGGCAUAAGGAAGCUUGACUGUGAGACCUACAAGUCGAGCAGGGACGAAAGUCGGUCUUAGUGAUCUGACGGUGCUGAGUGGAAAGGCCGUCACUCAACGGAUAAAAGUUACUCUAGGAUAACAGGCUGAUCUCCCCCAAGAGUUCACAUCGACGGGGAGGUUUGGCGCCUCGAUGUCGGCUCAUCGCAUCCUGGGGCGGUAGUACGUCCCAAGGGUUGGGCUGUUCGCCCAUGAAGGCGGUACACGAGCUGGGUUCAGAACGUCGUGAGACAGUUCGGUCCAUAUCCGGUGUAGGCGUUAGAAUAUUGAGAGGAGCCUUCUUUAGUACGAGAGGACCGAGAAGGACAUACCUCUGGUGUACCAGUUAUCGUGCCAACGGUAAACGCUGGGUAGCUAUGUAUGGAGAGGAUAACCGCUGAAAGCAUCUAAGUGGGAAGCCCACCUCAAGAUAAG